rnacentral:rRNA from 1 species
UACGUAGGGGGCUAGCGUUGUCCGGAAUCAUUGGGCGUAAAGAGCUCGUAGGCGGUUUGUCGCGUCGGCUGUGAAAGCCCGGAGCUCAACUCCGGGUCUGCAGUCGAUACGGGCAUCACUGGAGUUCGGCAGGGGAGACUGGAAUUCCUGGUGUAGCGGUGAAAUGCGCAGAUAUCAGGAGGAACACCGGUGGCGAAGGCGGGUCUCUGGGCCGAUACUGACGCUGAGGAGCGAAAGCAUGGGUAGCGAACAGG